UUUACAAUAUACAUAUGUCAUAUGUAUGCAUGUGUACGUGUAUGUGUCUGUGAGAGCAACAUUGCAAUAAUUACAACAAGAGAAACAGAGAAGAGAAAAGUCCACUGCAUUUGCAACAACAAAGGAAAUCAAAAGAAAUCACUGUCGCAGAAACAACAAAAGAAGCAUCCUACACACACACACACACACACUCGCAAGCGAAAUACACGGACAGAUCCCAGCACUGUCCAGCAGUUGGGAAGUAAAAGUCGGAUCACGGUUACGGCUGCGGUUCUCUCUUGACAUCCAUUGCAUGGAAUUGGAAGGAGUAGAAAGACGGAGGAGGAGGAAUAGAGGAGGAGAAUCGUACCACAACGAAUCUAUAUGCAAGAGCUAUACACAUCCUAUAUCUAGUCUACGAUAUUGUCAGAAAUAUACCGAUUAACUGUAGUUUGUAAGCCGCUUGAUGAAUAUUGGUCAGGAGAAGCAUCCGCACUUGCAUCCGCAUCCGCAGCAGCAACAGCAGCAGCAGCAGCAUUCGCAUCCACAU